rnacentral:rRNA from 1 species
UACGUAGGGUGCGAGCGUUGUCCGGAAUUAUUGGGCGUAAAGAGCUUGUAGGCGGUUUGUCGCGUCUGCUGUGAAAAUCCGGGGCUCAACCCCGGACUUGCAGUGGGUACGGGCAGGCUAGAGUGUGGUAGGGGAGACUGGAAUUCCUGGUGUAGCGGUGGAAUGCGCAGAUAUCAGGAGGAACACCGGUGGCGAAGGCGGGUCUCUGGGCCGUAACUGACGCUGAGGAGCGAAAGCGUGGGGAGCGAACAGG